UGGAAACGACUGCUAAUACCGCAUAAGCCCACGGGUCGGCAUCGACCAGAGGGAAAAGGAGCAAUCCGCUUUGAGAUGGCCUCGCGUCCGAUUAGCUGGUUGGUGAGGUAAUGGCCCACCAAGGCGACGAUCGGUAGCCGGACUGAGAGGUUGAACGGCCACAUUGGGACUGAGACACGGCCCAGACUCCUACGGGAGGCAGCAGUGGGGAAUAUUGCACAAUGGGGGAAACCCUGAUGCAGCGACGCCGCGUGGAGGAAGAAGGUCUUCGGAUUGUAAACUCCUGUUGUUGAGGAAGAUAAUGACGGUACUCAACAAGGAAGUGACGGCUAACUACGUGCCAGCAGCCGCGG
rnacentral:rRNA from 1 species